rnacentral:rRNA from 1 species
CCUACGGGAGGCAGCAGUAGGGAAUAUUGCACAAUGGAGGAAACUCUGAUGCAGCGAUGCCGCGUGAGUGAAGAAGGCCCUUGGGUUGUAAAGCUCUUUCGUCGGGGAAGAAAAUGACUGUACCCGAAUAAGAAGGUCCGGCUAACUUCGUGCCAGCAGCCGCGGUAAUACGAAGGGACCUAGCGUAGUUCGGAAUUACUGGGCUUAAAGAGUUCGUAGGUGGUUAAAAAAGUUGGUUGUGAAAUCCCGAAGCUUAACUUCGGAACUGCAAUCAAAACUUUUUAGCUAGAGUGUGAUAGAGGAAAGCAGAAUUUCUAGUGUAGAGGUGAAAUUCGUAGAUAUUAGAAAGAAUACCAAUUGCGAAGGCAGCUUUCUGGAUCAUUACUGACGCUGAGGAACGAAAGCAUGGGUAGCGAAGAGGAUUAGAUACCCUCGUAGUCCAUGCCGUAAACGAUGUGUGUUAGACGUUGGAAAUUUAUUUUCAGUGUCGCAGCGAAAGCAAUAAACACACCGCCUGGGGAGUACGACCGCAAGGUUAAAACUCAAAUGAAUUGACGGGGACCCGCACAAGUAGUGGAGCAUGUGGUUUAAUUCGAAGAUACGCGCAGAACCUUACCAACACUUGACAUGUUCGUCGCGACUCUAAGAGAUUAGAGUUUUCGGUUCGGCCGGACGAAACACAGGUGCUGCAUGGCUGUCGUCAGCUCGUGUCGUGAGAUGUUGGGUUAAGUCCCGCAACGAGCGCAACCCUCACUUUUAGUUGCCAUCAUUUAGUUGGGCACUCUGAAAGAACUGCCAGUGAUAAGCUGGAGGAAGGUGGGGAUGACGUCAAGUCCUCAUGGCCCUUACGU